GGAAGUAAAAGUCGUAACAAGGUUUCCGUAGGUGAACCUGCGGAAGGAUCAUUAUUGAAAUAAACCUGAUAAGUUGUUGCUGGUUCUCUAGGGAGCAUGUGCACGCUUGUCAUCUUUGUAUCUUCACCUGUGCACCUUUUGUAGACCUGAGAAAUCUCUCUGAAUGCUUAUUUUGGCAUCCGGGAUUGAGGAUUGACUUGCUGUCUCUUCUUAUAUUUUCAGGUUUAUGUUUCUUCAUAUACCCUAAUGUAUGUUUAUAGAAUGUAAUCAAUAGGCCUUGUGCCUAUAAAACUAUAUAACUUUCAGCAACGGAUCUCUUGGCUCUCGCAUCGAUGAAGAACGCAGCGAAAUGCGAUAAGUAAUGUGAAUUGCAGAAUUCAGUGAAUCAUCGAAUCUUUGAACGCACCUUGCGCUCCUUGGUAUUCCGAGGAGCAUGCCUGUUUGAGUGUCAUUAAUAUAUAUCAACCUGUCUGGUUGGAUUUGGGUUUGCUGGCCUUUUGGGGUCAGCUCACCUUAAAUGUAUUAGCGGACAAUAUUUUGUGAACUGUUCAUUGGUGUGAUAAUUAUCUAUGCUAUUGAAUAUGAAGCAAGGUUCAGCUACUAACAGUCCAUUGACUUGGACAAAUUUAUUUUUAUUAAUGUGACCUCAAAUCAGGUAGGACUACCCGCUGAACUUAAGCAUAUCAAUAAGCGGAGGAAAAGAAACUAACGAGGAUUCCCCUAGUAACUGCGAGUGAAGCGGGAAAAGCUCAAAUUUAAAAUCUGGCAGUCUUUGGCUGUCCGAGUUGUAAUCUAGAGAAGUGUUAUCCGCGCUGGACCGUGUACAAGUCUCCUGGAAUGGAGCGUCAUAGAGGGUGAGAAUCCCGUCUGUGACACGGACUGCCAGGGCUUUUGUGAUGCGCUCUCAAAGAGUCGAGUUGUUUGGGAAUGCAGCUCAAAAUGGGUGGUAAAUUCCAUCUAAAGCUAAAUAUUGGCGAGAGACCGAUAGCGAACAAGUACCGUGAGGGAAAGAUGAAAAGAACUUUGGAAAGAGAGUUAAACAGUACGUGAAAUUGCUGAAAGGGAAACGCUUGAAGUCAGUCGCGUUGUCCAGGGAUCAACUCUUGCUUUUGCUUGGUGUACUUUCUGGUUAACGGGUCAGCAUCAAUUUUGACUAUUGGAAAAAGAUCAGGGGAAUGUGGCAUCUUUGGAUGUGUUAUAGCCUCUGGUUGCAUACAUUAGUUGGGAUUGAGGAACUCAGCACGCCGCAAGGCCGAGUUUUUAACUACGUACGUGCUUAGGAUGCUGGCAUAAUGGCUUUAAUCGACCCGUCU
rnacentral:rRNA from 1 species